AAACUUUCAACAACGGAUCUCUUGGCUCUCGCAUCGAUGAAGAACGCAGCGAAAUGCGAUACGUAGUGUGAAUUGCAGAAUUCCGUGAAUCAUCGAAUUUUUUGAACGCAAAUUGUACUUUUCAGUAAUCUGGAAAGUAUGCUUGGUUGAGGGUCAUCG
rnacentral:rRNA from 1 species